CCUACGGGUGGCAGCAGUGGGGAAUAUUGGACAAUGGGGGCAACCCUGAUCCAGCCAUGCCGCGUGUGUGAAGAAGGCCCUCGGGUUGUAAAGCACUUUCAGUGAGGAAGAACGCCUGGUGGUUAAUACCCAUCAGGAAAGACAUCACUCACAGAAGAAGCACCGGCUAACUCCGUGCCAGCAGCCGCGGUAAUACGGAGGGUGCGAGCGUUAAUCGGAAUUACUGGGCGUAAAGCGCGCGUAGGUGGCUUGAUAAGCCGGUUGUGAAAGCCCCGGGCUCAACCUGGGAACGGCAUCCGGAACUGUCAAGCUAGAGUGCAGGAGAGGAAGGUAGAAUUCCCGGUGUAGCGGUGAAAUGCGUAGAGAUCGGGAGGAAUACCAGUGGCGAAGGCGGCCUUCUGGACUGACACUGACACUGAGGUGCGAAAGCGUAGGUAGCAAACAGGAUUAGAUACCCGGGUAGUC
rnacentral:rRNA from 1 species